rnacentral:rRNA from 1 species
AUUGAACGCUGGCGGCAUGCCUUACACAUGCAAGUCGAACGGCAGCACGGGAGCAAUCCUGGUGGCGAGUGGCGAACGGGUGAGUAAUGUAUCGGAACGUGCCCAGUCGUGGGGGAUAACGUAGCGAAAGCUACGCUAAUACCGCAUACGAUCUAUGGAUGAAAGCGGGGGACCGUAAGGCCUCGCGCGAUUGGAGCGGCCGAUAUCAGAUUAGGUAGUUGGUGGGGUAAAGGCCUACCAAGCCGACGAUCUGUAGCUGGUCUGAGAGGACGACCAGCCACACUGGGACUGAGACACGGCCCAGACUCCUACGGGAGGCAGCAGUGGGGAAUUUUGGACAAUGGGCGCAAGCCUGAUCCAGCAAUGCCGCGUGCAGGAUGAAGGCCUUCGGGUUGUAAACUGCUUUUGUACGGAGCGAAAAGGCUCUCUCUAAUACAGGGGGCUCAUGACGGUACCGUAAGAAUAAGCACCGGCUAACUACGUGCCAGCAGCCGCGGUAA